rnacentral:rRNA from 1 species
CCUACGGGUGGCAGCAGUAGGGAAUAUUGCUCAAUGGGGGAAACCCUGAAGCAGCAACGCCGCGUGAAGGAUGAAGGUUUUCGGAUUGUAAACCCCUUUUGUUAGGGGAGAUAAUGACGGUAUCUAACGAAUAAGCACCGGCUAACUCCGUGCCAGCAGCCGCAGUAAUACGGAGGGUGCAAGGGUUACUCGGAAUCACUGGGCGUAAAGAGGGCGUAGGCGGGAUAGCAAGUCAGAUGUGAAAUCCUAUGGCUUAACCAUAGAACUGCAUUUGAAACUGUUAGUCUAGAGUAUGGGAGAGGUAGGUGGAAUUCUUGGUGUAGGGGUAAAAUCCGUAGAGAUCAAGAGGAAUACUGAUUGCGAAGGCGACCUGCUAGAACAUAACUGACGCUGAUGCGCGAAAGCGUGGGGAGCAAACAGGAUUAGAUACCCUGGUAGUC